rnacentral:lncRNA from 1 species
GCUAAUUUGUGUAAAAGUUUUGGAGGGAUCACAAAGCUUAGGAAAGGUUGAUCCGAGCCUUAAAUUGGAGUAUAUUGGGUUAGCUUAUAUCCGAAAAAUAAGUGCCUAGCUUGAAAAAAUUAGGAUCGAUAGAAUCCGACAUUGUAAUCAUUGUGUACGAUUAAUAGAUUUAAAUUUUCAAGUAGAAGUUUGGAGAGUAGAUGUAAGAUUGACACCGAACCACUAUAAGCCCUCAUUAUUUAUGAUG